rnacentral:rRNA from 1 species
AUUGAACGCUGGCGGCAGGCCUAACACAUGCAAGUCGAACGAGUGGCGGACGGGUGAGUAAUGUCUGGGAAACUGCCCGAUGGAGGGGGAUAACUACUGGCACCGGUAGCUAAUACCGCAUACCCUCGGAUGGUCCCCGAUGUGAUUAGCUCGUAGGUGGGGUAACGGCUCACCUAGGCGACGAUCCCUAGCUGGUCUGAGAGGAUGACCAGCCACACUGGAACUGAGACACGGUCCAGACUCCUACGGGAGGCAGCAGUGGGGAAUAUUGCACAAUGGGCGCAAGCCUGAUGCAGCCAUGCCGCGUGUAUGAAGAAGGCCUUCGGGUUGUAAAGUACUUUCAGCGAGGAGGCGUUACUCGCAGAAGAAGCACCGGCUAACUCCGUGCCAGCAGCCGCGGUAAUAC